CAGGCCUAACACAUGCAAGUCGAGCGAGAAGCUCAUGACGGAAUCUUCGGAGGACGGAUUGAGUGGAAAGCGGCGGACGGGUGAGUAACGCGUGGGUAACCUGCCCUGUACAGAGGAAUAGCCAUUGGAAACGAUGAUUAAUGCCUCAUAAGACUACAGUAUCGCAUGAUACAGUAGCCAAAACUCCGGUGGUACAGGAUGGACCCGCGUUAGAUUAGCUAGUUGGUAAGGUAAAGGCUUACCAAGGCGACGAUCUAUAGCCGACCUGGGAGGGUGAUCGGCCACACUGGAACUGAGACACGGUCCAGACUCCUACGGGAGGCAGCAGUGGGGAAUAUUGCACAAUGGGCGAAAGCCUGAUGCAGCAACGCCGCGUGAGCGAAGAAGGUCUUCGGAUCGUAAAGCUCUGUCCUAUGGGAAGAACACAAUGACGGUACCAUAGGAGGAAGCCCCGGCUAACUACGUGCCAGCAGCCGCGGUAAUACGUAGGGGGCAAGCGUUAUCCGGAAUCACUGGGCGUAAAGGGUGCGUAGGCGGUUUCUCAAGCCAGAAGUGAAAGGCAAUGGCUCAACCAUUGUAAGCUUUUGGAACUGAGAGACUUGAGUGCAGGAGAGGAAAGUGGAAUUCCUAGUGUAGAGGUGAAAUUCGUAGAUAUUAGGAGGAACACCAGUGGCGAAGGCGACUUUCUGGACUGUAACUGACGCUGAGGCACGAAAGUGUGGGGAGCGA
rnacentral:rRNA from 1 species